rnacentral:tRNA from 1 species
AGCAGGGUGGUCUAGUGGAAAGAGCACAGGCCUGGGGGUCAGAGGACCUGGGUUCUAAUCCCAGCCCCGCCA